rnacentral:rRNA from 1 species
GUUGGGCCUGCUCGGUGAGAAGAAAAAUUUAACAGCUGCGGUAUUAUAACUGUACUAAGGUAGCAUAAUAAUUUGCCUUAUAAAUUAAGGCUAGAAUGAAUGGUUUGACGAAAAUUAGACUGUCUUUAUUUUAUUUGUUAGAAAUUAAUUUUUAUAGUGAAAAAGCUUGAAUAAUUUAAGGGGACGAGAAGACCCUAUUGAGCUUUAUUUAUUAAUAUUUAAAUAUAAAUAUAUAAUUUAUAUUAUGAAAAUUAUGUUGUAUAUAUAUAUAUAUAUUUAAUUGGAUUUAAUUUUGAUUGGGGUGAUCAAGGAAUAAAGAUAAAGUAACUUCCUUAAAAUUAAUGAUUGUUUUUAUAGAGUAAUAAACCAAGUUUUUUGCUUAUAAGAUAAGUUACCAUAGGGGUAACAGCGUAAUUUUUUUUGAGAGUUCAUAUUGAAAAAAGAGAUUGCGACCUCGAUGUUGGAUUAAAAAUUACCUUAAGG